GGUCAUGUGGCCUAGUGGUCAUGGCAUCUGCCCGGUAAGCGGAAGGUCGUGGGUUCGAUUCCCAUCCCUUGACACCCU